UACGGAGGGGGCGAGCGUUAUUCGGAAUUAUUGGGCGUAAAGGGCGCGUAGGCGGCCCUGUAAGUCAAAGGUGAAAUCCCUCGGCUCAACUGAGGAACUGCCUUUGAAACUGCAGGCUUGAGGCCGGGAGGGGGUAGGCGGAAUUCCCAAUGUAGCGGUGAAAUGCGUAGAUAUUGGGAGGAACACCAGUGGCGAAGGCGGCUACCUGGACCGGUUCUGACGCUGAGGCGCGAAAGCGUGGGUAGCAAACAGG
rnacentral:rRNA from 1 species